UUCUUGUUGGUGGUGGAGUUGGGAGCGGCGGCGACGACGGCGGCGGCGAAAACUGGUUUGGCGAUGGAUAUGGAGAUUCAGGUAGAGGAAAUGGAAGCAUGGAGGAGUACUAAGCAAUUACGCAAGAUUUCUGAAGGAGGUGAAAGGGGAUUUAGUGAAAGCAGAAGAGUACUGUGAGAGAGCGAUUUUGGCGAAACCAAAUGACGGCAAUGCUCUCUCUCUCUAUGGAGAUUUGAUUUGGCAGAUUCAUGGAGAUGGAGAUCGUGCUCAGAUCUACUUCGAUCAAGCUCUCCAUUCAGCCCCUCAUGACAGUUAUAUUCUGGGAUCAUACGCUAAGUUUCUGUGGGAUGCUGGAGAUGAAGAUGAAGAAGGAGAUGCAGUAGAGAAAGAGAGUACUAAAACAAACACACACCCUUCUCAUCAAAAUCCAUCACAUUUUACAAACUUCUAUGUAAUGUAAAAAUAUGAACAUAUUGAAGAGUGUAUUAAUCAUGAUCAUAGGCUAAGUUUUUGUUUGCUUGUUUUCUUCUUGUUACAUGAUUAUUAUUUCUAAAAGUGCAAUGUUUGUAAUAGUAGAAUUAGAAAGAUAUUUUGAAGUUGUAGCAUUUUUCUGUGAUGUAUAAAUCCUUGUAUAAUUAUCAUCUUUCA